rnacentral:rRNA from 1 species
AGCUCUUUGAAUAUUUAAAGGGUCCAGCCUGCCCAGUGGCUUAAAGCUAAACGGCCGCGGUAUCUUGACCGUGCAAAGGUAGCAUAAUCACUUGUCUUUUAAAUGGAGACUUGUAUGAACGGCGAAACCUUUUUCAACUGUCUCUCCUCCCACCCUUCAAAAUUUCUUUCUGUGUGAAGAAGCACAGAUAUACCAGAAAGACGAGAAGACCCUGUCGAGCUUUAACCAUUAAGUGAACACCCCCUUACUAGAUAUCACCUAAAGGUUUUGGUUGGGGCAACCGUGGAGAAAAAAAAUCCUCCAGAAUAAAUAGAAGAAAGCCUUUCACUAAUUAUCAACGCUUUAAGAACCAGGAACUGGUAUUCGGAAAAAGUUACCGCAGGGAUAACAGCGUUAUCUCCUCUGAGAGUCCUUAUUGACGAGGAGGCUUGCGACCUCGAUGUUGGAUUGGGGCCCCCUUAGGGUGCAGAAGCUCUAAACGGUUAGACUGUUCGUCUAUUAAAGCCCU